CAAGAGGGCAAUGUAGAGGUGCCGCAGGGGUUUCUUGCGCAAGAAACCCCUGCGGCACCUCUACAUUGCCCUCUUG
rfam:Pelodiscus sinensis unplaced genomic scaffold scaffold932, whole genome shotgun sequence.